ensembl:lncRNA
CCCUCAUCUGCCCACUUGCAUCUCUUACAAGUGUCCUAUAUUAAUACAUCUAUUUCUUGCUUAUCACUUUGCCUCUUGCUGAAUUCCUUCUGCGCUGAGACACAAAGAACCUGAGCCUCAGUAAGUCCAGAUAUUGGGCAGGAAUUCUGGCUUGUCUGCCCUCUGAAGGAGCUGAGUAUCAACCCUCAGAAAACCUCCACCAGUCCUCACUCAGGUUCCACCCUGCGCAUCACCGUGAGCACAAAGCUUCACUGGAAUGCUGCAGCCACGCGUUAGCCUUUGCUCAGAGAACCCAGAACAGAGGGCAAAGGUGUGGCAGGCUGCUUUCUUAGUACGUCAUAUCACCCUGCCCCAGUACAAAUGGCAGUGAGGGUGUCCCCAGGUCAGAGCUGUCCCAGAAGAAACAGAGAGAAGCAAAAGGAGCUAAGUCUGGAAUACUGAAGUUCUUGGCUCAGUAAAAACACUAACUAUGAAGGAGCAUUCUCUUCCCACCCAGAGGAUGGGCUGGAAUGGAGAAGCACAGAGCUCAAAGAGGAAGCAGCUUGCUUCCUGGGCAAGGGCAUGGAGACACCAUCCUCUCAGAAUACCCGCCAUGUAUGUACAUAUAAGGAGACCCAGUGGAGUGGCUUAUCUGGGCAAAAAGGCCCGGAGACAGCCCCCUCUCCCAAGUUUCCCACAGAAGUGUCUGAGAGAGGGUCUGGGGCCAGAAGAGGCUGAGGGUCAGGAUAUGAUGUGAUGACAUAGGCUGGAUGGACCAUCGGCCAUCUCAGUGAAUGGUGCCAGUUGUGGGCACCAGCAGGGUGACCAAACACCAGAAAAUGAUGGUUAGUAGGACUAGAACCCCUCAGAUGGCAGCAGAGAAAAGGAAAGUGACCGAGACCAUAAGCCCUCUCCCUACUGACAGCACUAGCUGAAACCGCAGGGGAAAGGGGAUGCAGAAACAAAAUUGACUGAAGCAAACCCUGUAUUCUUUAAGAAAAUGCUUCCACACAAUGCAACAUGGAAAAUUCAGAUGGCAAUUAAAGUCAGUUAUGGAAAAUAAAAAUGUUCACACAGGUCACUUUGUGGCCUAGGAAGUUUAUACCUGCUACAAAAACAUCCCACCCCAAGGAAACCCACUACCAUCACUGACCAAAAAAUCAAAGGAUUGUCGGCGUGGAGAGCUCUCAGGAGAGUUGUGCAGAGAGACAUUAGUAGGACUUUGAAGCCUUGGUAAACGAUUUCCUUUUAUUAGCACCUACUGAGUGUCAGGCUCCACGCUAAAUACUAUAUAUGUUAUUUCUGAGAGAGGUGGGAAAUCACUCCCAUUCUACAGAGGAGGAAACUUCAACAGAGAGGUAUUGAAAUGCAUUGGGCUGAUUUUCCACCCAAGUGACCCCAAGUGAAGUCGCUCAGUCGUGUCCGACUCUUUGCGACCCCUUGCACUGUAGCCUAUCAGGCUCCUCCGUCCAUGGGAUUCUCCAGGCAAGAGUGCUGGAGUGGGUUGCCAUUUCCUUCUCCAGGGGAUCUUCCCGACCCAGGAAUCAAACCCAGGUCUCCCGCAUUGCAGGCAGACGCUUUCCGUCUGAGCCACCAGGGAAGCCCUGAUUUUCCACAAGACAGCUUAAAUCAUGAUGGCUGGAAAGAUAGGCUCUUUGGGUAAUAGGGAGUGCUGCUCUGGGGCUUUAAACCCGAAGGUGAUAUUGGGAGACGUGGGAGGACUAGGAGGGGCGAGAUUAAUUAAAAUGCCAAGUUCUUGGAGGUGUGGGACGGCCCCUAGUGGAUGUGAGAAGAAUGGCAGCUCAGGGCUGCAAAUUCACCCUGCCAGUGGCUCUAGAUUGGGAGGCGUGAGGAGAGGGCCCUUGAGGCCGCAGGACGUGCUGAGAGAUGAUGCACGUCUUCUUUUUUUUUUUCCUUUUCUUUUAAAAAUUUAUUUAUUUUUAAUUGGAGGAUAAUCGCUUUGCAAUAUUGUGUUGAUUUCUGCCAAACAUCAACAUGAAUCAGCUCUAAGUAUAUAUAUGUCCCCUCCUUCCUGAACCUCCCUCCCACCUCCCACCCUAUCCCACACCUCUGUAUGAGCUCCCUGAGUCAUACAGUAGCAAAUCCCCACCGCUAUCUAUUUUACACAGGGUAAUGCAUGUUUCCAUGAUACUGUCUCAAUCCAUCCCAUCCUCCCCUUCCCCUAUGGUGUCCACAAGUCUGUGCUCUGUGUCCUCAUCUCCAUCGCUGCCCUGCAUAGGUUCAUCAGUACCAAUUUUCUAGAUUCCAUAUAUAUGCGUUACUAUGUGAUAUUUGUCUCUCUCUUACUUCACUCUGUAUAAUAGGCUCUAGGUCCAUCCACCUCAUUAGAACAGAUUCAAAUGUGUUUCUUUCUAUGGCUGAGUAAUAUUCCACUGUAUAUAUGUACCACAGCUUCUUUAUCUAUCCAUCUGUCAGUGGACAUCUUGGUUUCUUCCAUGUCGUAGAUACUGUAAAUAGUGCUGCGACGAACACUGGGGUACAUGUCUCCUUUUCAGUUAUGGUUUUCUCAGGAUAUAUGCCCAGUAGUAGGACUGUUGGGUCAUAUGGUAGUUUUACUCCUAGUUUUUAAAGGAAUCUGCAUACUGUUCUCCACAGUGGCAGUAUCAAUUUCUAUUUUCACCAACAGUGCAAGAGGGUUCCCUUUUCUUCACACCCUCCCCAGCAUUUACUGUUUGUAAAUUUAUUAAUGCUGAUCAGCAUGAGGUGAUACCUCAUUGUAGUUUUGAUUUGCAUUUCUCUAAUAAUGAGCGAUGUUGAGCAUCUUUUCAUGUGUUUAUUAGCCAUCUGUACAUCUUUGGAAAUGUCUGUUUAGGUGAUCGGCCCACUUUUGAUUGGGUUGUUUUUCUGGUAUUGAACUGCAUGAGCUGCUUGUAUGUUUUGGAAAUUAAUCCUUUGUCAGUUGUUUCACUUGCUAUUAUUUUCUCAAGGUUGUUUCACCUUGUUUAAAUAAUUUCCUUUGCUGUAUAUUUCCCUCUAGAAGGUGGGUCAUAGAGGAUCUUGCUGUGAUUUAUGUCUAAGAGUGUUCUGCCUAUGUUUUCCUCUAAGAGUUUUAUAGAUUCUGGUCUUAUAGUUAGGCCUUUAAUUCACUUUGAGUUUAUCUUUGGGUAUGGUGUUAGGAAGUGUUCUAAUUUCCUUUUUUUUUUUUUUUUCAUGUAGCUGUCUGGUUUUCCCAGCACCACUUAUUGGAGACUAUUUUUUCUCCAUUGUAUAUUCUUGCCUCCAUUGUCAAAGAUAAGGUGCCCAUAAGGUGUGUGGGUUUAUCUCUGGGCUUUCUAUCUUGUUCUGUUGUUCUAUAUUUCUGGUUUUGGAUGCACAUCUUCUUUGGGGUCUAGACUUAGGACCUCAGUCCAGUGACAGCAGUGGCUAUUCCAGGGAGGCAUGGUCUGGAAAGGCCUGGCCUGGGGAGGGCAUUAUGUGAGGACAGAGAAAAGGAAGGAAGGAAGGAACCUUGACUUAGCGAUGACCAUAUGCUUAGAGGAGACACACUGAAAACAAUGGCGUACACUUUAGAAACAGGUGAAGAUACACAGGCACAUGGAAACCAAGAGAAAACCAAGGUCACCACCUGAAGAUCAAAGCUGAUUUCAACUCAGAGAGAAAUUCAUAAGACAGAGCAGACUUCUCUAUAAUGCUGAAGGGGACACAACAGCAUAACAUAAACACAUAGGUAUAUCAAGAAAAUGAAAAGACAACCCACAGAAUAGGAGAAAGUAUUUGCAAAUCAUAUAUCUGAUAAGGGACUUGUGUCCAGAAUAUGUAAAAACAAACAAAAACCUCUUACAACUCAACAAUAAAAAGACAAAUUACCCAAUUUUAAUAUACACAAAAGAUAUGAAUGGAUAUUUUUCUAAAGAAUAUGUACAAAUGGCCAAUAAACACAUGAAAACAUGCUCAACAUGAUUAACCAUUAGAGAAAUACAAAACCACAGGCAGAAACUCGGGCAAGAAUUCCAUACACCCACUAGGAUGGCUAAAACAUGAAGACAGGUGAUAACAAGUAUGAACAAGGAUGUGUAUAAAUUGCAACCCUUUUACAUUGUUAGUAGGAUUAUAAAAUGGUACAGCCACUUUGGAGAACAAUUUGGCAAUUCCUCAAAAUGUUAAACAUAUAGCUGUUGUUUAGUUGCUAAGUCAUGUCUGAUAUUUUGCAACCCCAUGGACGGCAGCUCACCAGGCGCCUCUGUUCACUAUCUUCCAAAGUUUGCUCAAAUUCAUGUCCAUUGAGUUGAUGAUGCUAUCCAACCAUCUCUUCCUCUGCCUCCCCCUUCUCCUUUGCCUUCAAUCUUUCCCAGUAUCAGGGUCUUUUCCAAUGAGUCAGCUCUUUGCACCAAGUGGCCAAAGUAUUGGAGCUUCAGCCACAAUUCUUCCAAUAAAUAUUCAGGGUUGAUUUCCUUUAGGAUUGACUGGUUUGAUUUCCUUGAAGUCUAAGGGACUCUCAAGAGUCUUCUCCAGUUAUCCUAUGACCUGGCCAUUCCACUCCUAUAUAUACACGCACAAGAGAAAUGAGAACAAGUCCACACAAACACUUGUACAAGAAUGCCCAUGGCAGCAUAAUUCAUAAUGGAUAGCUCAGACGUGGAAACAAUCCAAGUGUGCAAGUGCUGAAUGGAUAAAUGUAGCCUAUCUUCUCAAUGGACUGUUAUUCAGUGAUAAAAGUGAAUGAAGUAUGAUACAUGUUACCACAUGGAUGAAACUUGAAAACACGUCAAAUGAGAGAAGCAGACACAAAAGGCCACAUAUUACGUGUUUCCAUUAAGAAAUGUUCAGAAUAGACAAAUUCAUAGAGAGAAAAUAGAUUCAUAUUUGCCAAGGUUUAGGCAAGGUGGAAUGAAGAUUGACUGCUGAUGGAUACAAGAUUCCUUUUCUUCAAAGUUUACUUAUUUAUUUGGUUGCCUCCAGUCUCAGUUGCAGCAUGUGGGAACUUAACUCCCUAACUAGGGAUCAAAUCCUCAUCCCCUGCACUGCAAGGCAGAUUCUUAAUCACUGGACCACCAGAGAUUUCUUUUCAUAGUGAUGAAAUUGUUCUGAAAUUUCAGGGGUGAUGGAUGCACAAUUUUGUGACUAUACUAAAAAACACUAAAUUGUACACUUUAAAAUGAGUAAGUUUAUGGCAUGUCAAGUCAGUUAUAUUUUAAUAAAUCUGUUAUUUUUAGAAAUACAUAAGGCAAAAACAUAACAAAAUGCAUCAGAAAAUACACACACUGGAAUCAUCUCUCAGCCAUUAAGAGAUGAAAGGCAAUGCCAAAGAAUGUUCAAAUGAAAGUGAAAGUCACUCAUUCAUGUCUGACUCUUUUGAGACCCCAUGGACCAGAUAAUCCAUGGAAUACUCGAGGCCAGAAUACUGGAGUGGGUAGCCUUUCCCUUCUCCAGGGAAUCUUCCCAACCCAGGGACAGAACCCAGGUCUCCCAUAUCACAGGCGUAUUCUUUACCACCUGAAGCUUGUGACUGCACGAAUGUUCAACUACCUCUCAAUUGCACUCAUCUCACAUGCUAGCAAAGUAAUGCUCAAAACUCUCCAAGCUAGGCUUCGACAAAACAUGAACCAAGAACUUCCAGAUGUUUAAGCUGGAUUUAGAAAAGGCAGAGGAACCAGAGGUCAAAUUGCCAACAUCUGCUGGAUCAUAGAGAAAGAAAGCGAAUUCUAGAAAAACAUCUGUUUCAUUGACUACGCUAAAACCUUGGACUGUGUGGAUCACAACAAACUGGAAAAUUCUUAAAGAGAUGGUAAUACCAAACCACCUGACCUGCCUCCUGAGAAAUCUGUAUGCAGAUCAAGGAGCAACAUUUAGAACUGGACGUAGAACAAUGGACUAGUUCAAAACUGGGAAAGGAGUAUAUCAAGGCUGUAUAUUGUCACCCUGCUUAUUUAACUUAUAUGCAGAGUACAUCAUGAGAAAUGCCAGGCUGGAUGAAGCACAAGCUGGGAUCAAGACUGCCGGGAGAAAUAUCAAUAACCUCAGAUAUGCAAAUGACAACACCCUCAUGACAGAAAGCGAAGAGAAACUAAAGAGCCUCUUGAUGAAAGUGAAAGAGGAGAGUGGAAAAGCUGGCUUAAAACUCAACAUUCAAAAUACUAAGAUCAUGGCAUCUGGUCCCAUCACUUCAUGGCAAAUAGAUGGGGAAACAAUGGAAACAGUGAUUCCACUGGAUCAACAGUGAUUUCUUGGAUUCCAAAAUCACUGCAGAUGGUGACUGCAGCCAUGAAAAUAAAAGACUCUUGCUCCUUGGAAGAGAAGCUAUGACCAAUCUAGACAGCAUAUUAAAAAGCAGAGACAUUACUUUUCCAACAAAUGUCCAUAUAGUUAAAGCUAUGGUUUUUCCAGUAGUCACAUACAGAUGUGAGAGUUGGACCACAAAGAAAGCUGAGUGCCGAAGAAUUGAUACUUUUGAACAUGGUGUUGGAGGAGACUCUUGAGAGUCCCUUGGACUGCAAGGAGAUCAAACCAGUCAAUCCUAAAGGAAAUCAGUCCUGAAUAUUCAUUGGAAGGACUGAUGCUGAAGCUGAAGCUCCAAUGCUUUGGCCAGUUGAUGGGAAGAACCGACUCAUUGGAAAAGACCCUGAUGCUGGAAAAGAUUGAAGGUGGGAGGAGAAGGGGAUGACAGAGGAUAAGAUGGUUGGAUGGCAUCACUGACUCGAUGGACAUGAGUUUGAGCAAGCUCCGGAAGUUGGUGAUGGACAGGGAAGUCCGGUGUGCUGCAGUCCAAGGGGUCACAAAGAGUCAAACACCACUGAGCAACUGAACUGAACUGAAUACUUGAAAAACAAAGAAAAUAAUCAUGUUUCUCAGAAGUUAUAUGUUACAGCAAUAAACACACCUUUCCAAGGAUCCCUCACCCACUCCUUUAUUUGACAGAUUUACACUGAGCACUGACUAUAUGCCGGAUAUUGUCCAAGGCUCUGAGGACACAGCAGGGGGUGUCUCUGCAUGGGUGUAGCUCUUGGGUAGUUGCAGUGGUAAGGUGCUGCUUAUAAACAUAUGCAAAAAUUGACUUAAGCUGCAAAGGAAAUCUGUUAACUCCAAAAGAAAUGCUACACACAAGCCCUAUUUUCUUUUUAACCACAAUUGAAAAGAUUAGAAAGAAAUAAUAAAAGUAGAAAUGAAACCCACCAAUCACUUAGAAACAUUAAAACUCUCUUAUAAGCAAACUUAAGAUCAAAAAUAACAUUAAAGCCUUGGUGCAGAGAAUUUGGAAAAAGAAUUUAUAUCUAUAAGAUGUACACACACAUGUCUGUGAGAUAACAUUUUUUCCAAGAACACAGCCAAAGUCAGAGCUAGGAAGGAGUUCCUCAUAAUCAUUACUGUUUUUAACAUUUUCCUAGAAGGAAUAGCCAAUACAAUUCUAUAAGAGGACAAAAAAAGAAGUUCCAUUACUUAUAAACAGCAUCAGAUUGGCAAAGACAAAAUUUAAUUCCCAUUCACUGAGCCCCGUCAGAAGGGACACAAAUUGGUACAAGCCUGCCCUUGCUCUAGUCCAG